rnacentral:rRNA from 1 species
GUGGGGUAACGGCCUACCAAGGCGACGACGGGUAGCUGGUCUGAGAGGACGACCAGCCACACUGGGACUGAGACACGGCCCAGACUCCUACGGGAGGCAGCAGUGGGGAAUCUUGCGCAAUGGGCGAAAGCCUGACGCAGCGACACCGCGUGGGGGAUGAAGGCCUUUCAGGUCGUAAACCCCUUUCGGCAGGGACGAAGCGAUCUCGUGACGGUACCUGCAGAAGAAGCCUCGGCUAACUACGUGCCAGCAGCCGCGGUAACACGUAGGAGGCGAGCGUUGUCCGGAAUCAUUGGGCGUAAAGAGCGCGCAGGCGGCUUGGCAAGUCGGGUGUGAAAUCCCGGGGCUCAACCCCGUGACUGCAUCCGAUACUGUCAGGCUAGAGGUAGGUAGGGGAGAUCGGAAUUCCUGGUGUAGCGGUGAAAUGCGCAGAUAUCAGGAGGAACACCGGUGGCGAAGGCGGAUCUCUGGGCCUUACCUGACGCUCAGGCGCGAAAGCUAGGGGAGCGAACAGGAUUAGAUACCCCGGUAGUCCUAGCCGUAAACGUUGGGUGCUAGGUGUGGGCGGAUAUCAACCCCGUCCGUGCCGAAGCUAACGCAUUAAGCA